ACGUGAGCCUUUUGACUUAAGCGGCCAAGGGACAGCAUUUUUCGUUAGCAAUCAAUGUCAUCUGGCCUCAAACAAGAAUGGAUUGUGAGGACGAGAACGAAGCGAAGGAUGGGCAAAAGGCCACGUGAAGUUCGACAUUAACGUGUCUUUCCCAGGGCACAAAUCGUGGUGGACAGAGCGGGGAAGAGAGUUGGGUUUCGCAUCCUCGGCGGGCCAGGAGGGACAGGAUCUCUGCGUCCGCCGAUCUCGACUUCCACCCGCAUUAAAAGCUGGAAUAUUGCCACCCCGAGGCAGCACCGCAGAAGCCCAAAAGCUACAUCCCCCUAACCCCAGUUGUUCGAUCAAGUGCCAAGCACCUUGUGCCUUUUGAAAGCUUCACCUCACAUCCCACUUGCAAACCGAGCAGCAGCAGCAGCGGCGGCUACUUGACCUCACCCUGUCUCGAGUCGAACUGAUGGAACGGUGCACACUCUGUUUCCUUCGGGUCCUCGCUUGACCUUUAGCUUCAAAGAGCAUGAAAAGAUACAAGAUACACUUCGAGGCAAACACUGCAGCACCUCAAAAUAAUAAAGAAUGCCCACAGUCGCAGGCUUUACAGCUACGGUAAUUGUGAGAGAAGACAGCAUUAAAAGAUGAAUCAAGUAAGGUUUCAGCGGAACAUUCAUGUAUCCAAAGAGAAAAAGAACUAACGGCGAGCUACAUUGACCAGCUCAAGGCAGCUGUGUUUGCGCUGUGUCUGUGUAAUUGCCUUGAAAUGAGAUUUGCUUGUCGAAGCCGAUAGAAGCCGAGAACUGCUUUCGUUCUCGAGGCCAAACAUCCAUGUAUACCUAUUCCUACCCCUCUCCCUCUUUUCGAACAUUAUUGCCAUCCCUCGAAGUAUUCCAAACCAAAGUAACAUAAACGUCUCCUCUAUCCAUAUCCAUCAGACAAUAGAUGUGACAUCUCAUUCGCCCAUGUGACGCACUAAAAUUGUGAAAGCGAGAGCUGAAACGAAGGGUAGACAAAAGGAGCAUCUCCACCGUCCUCUUCCGUCGAUAAAACAAGGCAACUCCUUCGUCACAGUCUUUUGUGCCGUUUGCGUUCUGUGAGGUGGAGAUGGCCGUGGCCGUUGGAGUGGUGGCAGCUCUAGGAGACGCCGGAGUGGUGCUGGGUGGAGGGAAGAGGAGGUUUAAGAGCCUCUACUUGAGGCUCAGAGCGGAGAUAAGGAGGCAGCUGGCGAAAGGAAGGGAAAGCAAGCAGCGAUUCAGCUUCCACUACGACCCUUUUAGCUAUGCACUCAACUUUGAUGAUGGCUGUCCCGGCUUUCUGUCUCUGUAGCUUCUGUUUUCUCUGUUGUUUUAGGAAGGGUUCGUUUGGCCUGUCCCUUUGAGGGAUGUAUAGGGGGAAUGUUUUGCUGUGAUGAUGGUGGGUAGGUUGCCUACUUUUUGAAGGCCUUUGACAUGGAAGUAGGAAUCCAUGGCGGCUCAUGAAUGUUGAUGUUUUCACUAGUGAUGAGACUUACUUUCUGGUAGUUUUCA